UCGUUGGAUGAACAGUAUAAGGCCUUAAGUGUUGGGACGAUUUUGCCUCUUAUUUCUAGUCUCUUCAACUGUUUUGCCCCUCCAUGGCUUGGUUGCGUGGCUUGCAGAGUGGAUCUUCUCGCUGUUUGGGAGAGAGAGAGAGAGAGAGAGAGAGAAGAUGGAGAUUCUGGGUUGCGCAUCUUCCAGCUCCGGUGACGACUAAUUGAAUUUCUUGGUGGAGUCGUAUUUGCGCAUAAUUGGAGAGCCAAAGCUUUAGUCUGUAUUUCGUCAGGUCAUUUGCUGGGUUUUGGGGGAAUAUGGAACUGCUAAUGGAAAGCAUUCUGCUUCAUAUAUCACUGGAGAGAAGGGAAAUUGUAUAGUUAAUGAACAAUUGGAAGGAAUAUGUUCAAGCCAUGAGAAUCUCGCCUGUCUUUCCUGAGAACCGUUUAAAAAUUGGUCAAGAGCUUACCAGGGGUCUUGGUGCUGGUGGAAACCCAUGCCAGAUGUUGGUGUGAAUGCUGUCAAACAAAGCCUAAAAUCAUAGAAGAAGCACUAUAUGGGUCAGACAUGGUAUUCGUUAUGGCUAGAAUGGGUGGAGGAAUUCACAUUGGUGUUGCUCCGGUAGUUGCAGGUGUUGCAAAAUCAAUGGGAAACUUCAAGUAUCCUUUUCUGACUAUGGUUGUAAUGAGAUAAUUCGGAAUAUGAGGGUAUUACGUUUGGAUUUGAUUUUACAGCAUUUUAGAAUUUGAUCUCAGCUAUGUAAAGUCAUUGACAUUUUAAGAAUAUAUUGGCUGAUGAGAGGUUCAAAGAGAUUAUGAAUGAAUUACCAUCUCACAUUAGGUUAUAAACAUGAAUUCAGGAAAAAAAAAACAUAACCCCGCAGCAUUGAGUGGGCGAGUUGCCUAGUUACCUAUUUUAAACCUCUAAAUCCUUAUGAAUAGUAAUUUGCCCUGCUGCUUUGCCCAUAUUUUGCUCAUUACCCUUGCCACCUGUUGAUCUGUUGAGCCACCACCUAAUUACUUUGAGCGAUGGCGGGUCGCCCCUUCUCUGCUGCGCAGAAGAGACAGGAGCUGAAAGAGAGACGUUGUUUGCCUGGCAGAAAGAGAGUUGAAGAGGUGGAUUGAUAGAGGGCGACAUACGCAGAGGUUGUAUUCGUUUUGCCCAGGCGUUGUUGAGAUUGUUAUUCAUUUUGAAGCUUAUGGAUUUUCAGGGAGGAUGAGCAUAGUAUCAAAAGAAAUUGACUGAGGAAUGUGCAACCAAUAAUUUUCCUUAAUCUGUUUCAGUUUUUGCUAAAUUCUGUCAUUUCAAGUGUUUUCUGAAAUCUAACUCACUCAAUUUAAUGCCUUUUAUGUUAUUCUUUAGGUGAGACAGAGAUGAUUGUUCCUCUUCUUUGCUACAGAAAUUGAGCCGCUGGAGGUUUCAUUUGCAGUAGUUGUAAUUAUUUCUUAUAUCAAUGCUGUGAUUUGGUGUUGAAGCAUCUUUCAGUCAUGCAAAAACAAAGGCUGAGGGACUUACAGUGGAGGUGAUACUUUAAACCGUGAAAAUAGGGUGUUACUUGAUCAUUGGACGUUGGAAAAGAUGAGGGAUGCUGAACGCCUCAAUGAGGGUGACAUUGUCUUUGCAUCUGUUAUGGCAACUCUUGGACUGCAAAUAUUGCUCGAGUCUGCUUGAGAACUGAUCUCAAAGUAGUUCGGUCAGACGUAUCUUACUUCCUGUAUCCUUCAUUGGCUACAGUCCCGACCAGAAAUGGAUGAUGGGCAGGAGAAGUGGAAGAUGGUCUACUGUCACAGUAGUGAAGUUUCUCCACAUGGUCUACUGUCAAAGAUUUAAAAAUGAAAUUGUACGGGCAAAGGUGAAUUUCAUUGAAUUUUGAAGAUAACAGUAUUGACAAGGCAGGGUGAAUUAGUAGCUGGGCUAAAAUGUUGUCUGUUGAAAAAUUGGGAAAAAACCGAAAGAAUGCGAAAAGAGUCCACAUACUCUUUCGAUAAAUGAUCGUAUCAAACUAUCAAUGAGCAUCUCCAAAAGGCUAAAUUUAAGUAUCAAGUUUUUAAGUUUGG